rnacentral:rRNA from 1 species
ACGAACGCUGGCGGCGUGCCUCAUCCAUGCCAGUCGAACGCUUCUUUCCUCCCGAGUGCUUGCACUCAAUUGGAAAGAGGAGUGGCGGACGGGUGAGUAACACGUGGGUAACCUACCCAUCAGAGGGGGAUAACACUUGGAAACAGGUGCUAAUACCGCAUAACAGUUUAUGCCGCAUGGCAUAAGAGUGAAAGGCGCUUUCGGGUGUCGCUGAUGGAUGGACCCGCGGUGCAUUAGCUAGUUGGUGAGGUAACGGCUCACCAAGGCCACGAUGCAUAGCCGACCUGAGAGGGUGAUCGGCCACACUGGGACUGAGACACGGCCCAGACUCCUACGGGAGGCAGCAGUAGGGAAUCUUCGGCAAUGGACGAAAGUCUGACCGAGCAACGCCGCGUGAGUGAAGAAGGUUUUCGGAUCGUAAAACUCUGUUGUUAGAGAAGAACAAGGACGUUAGUAACUGAACGUCCCCUGACGGUAUCUAACCAGAAAGACACGGCUAACUACGUG